rnacentral:rRNA from 1 species
AUUGAACGCUGGCGGCAGGCCUAACACAUGCAAGUCGAGCGAGCGGCGGACGGGUGAGUAAUGUCUGGGAAACUGCCUUAUGGAGGGGGAUAACUACCGGAAACGCUAGCUAAUACCGCAUAUCAUCAUAUGUGCUCAGAUGGGAUUAGCUAGUAGGUGUGGUAACGGCUCACCUAGGCGACGAUCCCUAGCUGGUCUGAGAGGAUGACCAGCCACACUGGAACUGAGACACGGUCCAGACUCCUACGGGAGGCAGCAGUGGGGAAUAUUGCGCAAUGGGCGCAAGCCUGAUGGAGCCAUGCCGCGUGUGUGAAGAAGGCCUUCGGGUUGUAAAGCACUUUCAGCAGGGAGGCGUUACCCGCAGAAAAAGCACCGGCUAACUACGUGCCAGCAGCCGCGGUAAUUC